UACUUUGAUUAAUGUCAGUACUGUGGGA
rnacentral:piRNA from 1 species